CGGGGUGUGGCGCAGGUUGGUAGCGCGUCUGCUUUGGGAGCAGAAGGCCCGCGGUUCAAGUCCGCGCACCCCGACCA
rnacentral:tRNA from 1 species